AAGUCGUAACAAGGUUUCCGUAGGUGAACCUGCGGAAGGAUCAUUACUGAAUAAAGUGUGGUUGGGGGUUGUUGCUGGCGGCCUUCCUUUGGAUGCAUGUGCACGCCCCUGCCAUCCUGUCGUUCAUCUUCUCCACCUGUGCAUUCCCUUCGUAGGCCAGACAGAUGGUCAUUAAUCAGCUGGGCUCUUCUUCCUCCUCAGAGAGAGGGGGAGGGUGGAUGCUCUUUGGGACUUGCUGUUGCAGCUCAAUGUUGUGACAGCUCCUCCUGGAAGUUGACACAUCUGGUCUACGCACCUUUAUCCGAAAAACCUCUUAUGUCUUGUUGUAUGGUAUUAUGUGGGCUUAUCGUUAAAAGCAUGUGUAAAUACAACUUUCAACAACGGAUCUCUUGGCUCUC
rnacentral:misc_RNA from 1 species